CUGCCCAGCAGANAGACCCGCGAAC
rnacentral:rRNA from 1 species